rnacentral:rRNA from 1 species
UACGUAGGGUGCAAGCGUUGUCCGGAAUUAUUGGGCGUAAAGAGCUCGUAGGCGGUUUGUCGCGUCUGCUGUGAAAACGCGAGGCUCAACCUCGCGCCUGCAGUGGGUACGGGCAGACUAGAGUGCGGUAGGGGAGAUUGGAAUUCCUGGUGUAGCGGUGGAAUGCGCAGAUAUCAGGAAGAACACCCGUGGCGAAGGCGGCUCUCUGGGACGGUACUGACGCUGAGACGCGAAAGCGUGGGGAGCGAACAGG